UUCGUGUGUGUGUGUGUGUGUGUGUGUGUGUGUGUGUGUGUGUUUGUCCGUGUGUGUGUGUGAGUGUGUGUGUGUGUUUGUAUGUAAAGCCUUUGUCAGCUCAGCUCAACGAUGCUAUGAGUUAAUUUCCAAUGAGACAGGCAGCAGUAGCUGCAGGCGCUGCACCAUAGAAAUAAACAGUUUGUUUAGACCACGCUACAGGCUGAAGGACCUGUAAACACUGCUUCCAUUGCAUUCUGGGUAAAUGCACAACUCAGCGUCACGCAUCUGUCACCACUGUCCUCUCAGUCACCCCCAGCUGACCAAUCAGCUCUCUCCGUUUCUCUGAGAGCCAGCCAACGAACAUGCGGCUCUCUGUUAUCCCCGUCUGACCACUCAGAGUUGGAGCGCAGCAUGUUUCAUGUGUGCGUGUGUGUUUUGGCCCAUUUUUGUUUGUUUUUGAAUUAUUCAUGAGUCCAGCGUUGAUCCUUGACGUGUCACGAUUGCUCAGCAAACAUAAAGAAUCACAGUGCUGUAAAUGUGAUAAUGUUGAUGCACCAACUCUUUUUAGUCUCUUUAUUUUGAGUCUAAAUGUCAUGUCCAUACAGCAUUUCUCCAUUAAUCACUUUGACAAGAUUGGGUUAUACAUUUCCCUGUGAAGAAACGUGUGGCGCUCGCAGUGCAAGCUGAGAUUUGGGUUCGUUUUUGUGUAAUGAAGCAGUUUUGAUAUUUCUGCCCAGGUGUUUUACAUGCAGUAACAUGUGAGAUGGUGCUCUAACAUUACAAACCAUCAGUAUGCAGAGAGCACAUCCUCAUCAUUGAUAUGUUUGUGUGUGCAUGUGAGUAUGUGUGUGUGUGUGUGUAUGUGUGUGUUACAAUGAGAUUUUUUAUAGCCUUGUUCCUGCUAAUAGUAUUUAUUACUCUAGAUUUGUAAAGAUUAGUUUGUUGUUAACUUGUGAAACAAGACGGUGUUGUUCAGAGAUAUUUGAAGGUUUGUUUCUGGUUUCACCCUCCAUCUCCAAGUGAUGAUAAAUAUAGUUGUGAUAAACAAACAAACUCUUUUCUGUUCUAUGGAAAUAAAAACAGAUUUAUAUACAGAAA